rnacentral:rRNA from 1 species
CCUACGGGAGGCAGCAGUAAGGAAUAUUGCGCAAUGGGCGAAAGCCUGACGCAGCGACGCCGCGUGGGGGAUGAAGGUCUUCGGAUUGUAAACCCCUUUCGGGAGGGAAGAUGGAGCGAGCAAUCGUUCGGACGGUACCUCCAGAAGCAGCCACGGCCAACUUCGUGCCAGCAGCCGCGGUAAUACGAAGGUGGCAAGCGUUGUUCGGAUUCACUGGGCGUACAGGGUGUGUAGGCGGUUUGGUAAGCCUUCUGUUAAAGCUUCGGGCCCAACCCGGAAAGCGCAGAGGGUACUGCCAGGCUAGAGGGUGGGAGAGGAGCGCGGAAUUCCCGGUGUAGCGGUGAAAUGCGUAGAGAUCGGGAGGAAGGCCGGUGGCGAAGGCGGCGCUCUGGAACACACCUGACGCUGAGACACGAAAGCGUGGGGAGCAAACAGGAUUAGAUACCCUGGUAGUCCACGCCCUAAACUAUGGAUACUAAGUGUCGGCGGGUUACCGCCGGUGCCGCAGCUAACGCAUUAAGUAUCCCGCCUGGGAAGUACGGCCGCAAGGUUGAAACUCAAA